rnacentral:rRNA from 1 species
CCCCUGAAGGAACCAUGUAGACUACGUGUUGAUAGGUCAGGUGUGUAAGUACAGCAAUGUAUUGAGCUAACUGAUACUAAUGAUCCGUGCGGCUUGACCAUAUAACCUCA